rnacentral:rRNA from 1 species
UACGUAGGCAGCGAGCGUUGUUCGGAAUUACUGGGCGUAAAGAGUGUGUAGGCGGUGCUCUAAGUUCGGUGUGAAAUCUCCCGGCUUAACUGGGAGGGUGCGCCGGAAACUGGAGUGCUCGAACGUGGGAGAGGAAAGCGGAAUUCCUGGUGUAGCGGUGAGAUGCGUAGAUAUCAGGAGGAACACCUGCGGUGUAGACGGCUUUCUGGACCAUUGUUGACGCUGAGACACGAAAGCGUGGGUAGCAAACAGG